CACCGCCCGUCACAUCACGAAAGUGGGUUGCACUAGAAGUCCGCAGGCUAACCGAAAGGAGGCAGCGGCCCAAGGUGUGACUCAUGAUUGGGGUG
rnacentral:rRNA from 1 species